ensembl:lncRNA
AGGGAUUAAAUGAGAUGAUAUAUGCCAAACUAUAAUGUGCUGUUGGAAUGUCAUGCAACAUUGACAUGCAGCAGGAAGUCAAGUAUAGUUGACUUAAAACAUUUUUGUUUAUUUUUAUUUUUUGAAAGUUAUCUUUUAAAGAACUUUUAUGUAUUUAAGACAGUUUGGAUAAAUUUUCAAAGCUAAUAUGUUUUACUCAGUCUCUUUUAAAACUACCUUGCUUUACAUGAAAAAUUUAUGUAUAAACAAUCUUUGAGGUGCGAGGUGAGGCAGAUUACCUCUGAAAAACAUAGCUACAUUCUAAAAUAUGUCGUACUGAGUAGGAAAUAUGAAGUUUUUUUCUCUUUAUUCUUAUGAAUAAAGAGGAAAGUAAGAUGGAAUACUAAAGCAAUUUUUUUAGAAAACACAUGAUAUUUGAUCAAUAAAUAUUGUACAUUUAAUUUUUCUUUGAAAACAUUUAGGAUUUUAGCAUUUUCAUUUGUCAUGGGAAUAUGACUUUUUUAGAACUAAAAUAAAAUUUCCGUAACUUUAAGUUUAGUUUCAAAUUGCUUAUAAGUAUGGUAUAUUUGCACUGCUAUUUUAUUUGCUUUUGCAAAAAUUUUUAAGGUAAGUAGACAGAACCUAGUUAUGUAGUAGACAGUUCGAUAUUAGUGAAAUAAAAAGUCAAAGUGGACAGAUCAAGUCAGAUAAAGGUUUAAUAUCUUUCAAAAAGUAUAAAUUUGUUUUCAUAAUCCAGUUUACAUUAAUCAUAUGAUGUAUAAACACAAAGAUAUUUACAAUACCUCUUAUUUUGCUUUAGAAUCUUAUUCUGAAUAUUUUGAGAACAAGUAAAUUAAAAUGAAAUAUCAAAAUUGACGAGUUUACUGCAGAGUGUGAAGAACCAGAGUAAAUUAGAAUUCUGCUCACUAAGUGCCUCAGAGCUUAUUCCACCUGACUCAUCAAAUGAAAAAUUCAUCAAUUAAUCCUCUGACAAUAACGAUAUAUACACAAAAAUCAAUCCGGAAUUGAUUUUUUUAGUCUGAACAUGAAAACCAAGCCCUGACUUAUACAUAAUGUGAAAUUUCUCUUCAUUUCGACUUUAUUAUUGAGUAUAACAGCUGAAGUGUUCAUAUAAUUAUUUGUUCUAAGUCAACUACAAAAGUGUGAUUGUUUGAGAAAGGGUGUAUGUGCUAAGGAGAUGGUCUGAAGCACAAUCCAAGUGAGCUAAUAAAGUUGUCACAUGCAUGUGAGAAUACAGCUGAUAGGAAUCCCUAGAAGGCAGCCAGUAGAGAGGGAUACUGAUCACUAAGCCCUGAUGGGAGACCACCCAGGACAGUUAACAGUGAGCUGAGUAUUAAGGAAGAUCAAAGAGAGAAGAGUAACAUACAAUAACUCAGAUGUCAGAUACAGACUAAAAAGAGCAUUGUGAGGCAUGUGAUUUCUGUGAAAUGUAUUUUUGUAUAUGUGGUGACUAACUCAGUAAACAUCAUAAACUGUAGAGGAAACCUCUUCCUUAUGCCAACCUGCUUUGUCUCAUCUGCUUUAUAGACAUAAAUAUUUCACAAUCCAUUAAGUAUUCAAAUGACCGUUUUGCUUUAAUUCAGUAAUUCAAUGCAGGUCUUCAAGACUUCCAAAGAAGUCUUCUUUGAAGCUUUUUUCUAGUUGUUAAGUUCUUUCUUCCACAAGGCCAGUACCACAAUAACAUAUAUACAGAUAUCUUAAGAGAAUAAUCCAAGCCAAAUAAUAGUGACGCAGUUUUUUUUUGGGGGGGGUGUAAAAAAGCCUAUUAAAAAUAUAUUCAAAUAUAUAACUAUGAAGGAAAAGAGUCAAAAGGGUCACAUUUAAGUUUACAAUACCUUCAAAUGAUGUAGGUCCAAAACCUGUUAUUGCUGCUGCCAAAUUCUUAAUUUCCAUAAUGCAAAUUCUACUUUGAAUCUUAUCAGACUGUAUUGGUAAGUUCUCCGUAUUGCCACAGAGAACUUAAUACUGCUCUGAAUGCUGUACAUCAGCAUACUGUAACAAAAAGAAAUGCACUCUUCCAAUAUACAGUAAUGUUAAACAACAAGCAGAAGAUGCAAGGGAAGUGUUAAGCUAGAGAACUCUGUCAGUAUUACUUUUCUCACAUGUAGUAAAUUUUGAUGACUGUCUUCUGAAUGUGGAUUCUUGUAGGAAAUGAACACUAAGCUGUUUUUAUGUUUUAUAGAUGUUAAAAAAAAAAGCUGAAUACAUAUGAUUCUGAAGCUAUUAGAAUUUUUUCCCCUGUCACAAUAGCAGUAAGAAAAUUGUAAUAGAAAUGUCUUCUUGAGUGCAUAGCAUAUGAAAUAAUGUGUUUUUUCCCUGUAGUCUAAAAUGUUAACUUGUAUUUUAGGUCUCAUUCUUUGCAUAUGCCUUGACAAUUAUGAUUGCUUGAUUAAAGAAAGAGCUUUUGUACUAGUUAUAUGUCAUAAUACCAAAUAUAUUAUAUCUGAGCAGUAUUUAGGAUGUUCUGUUUCUGAUAGGUCUGAUAUGUUUCUGAGAAACUAACGUAGGAUAAUAUGUAUCUUUGAGACAUUUGUUAGUGAAACACUUAUGCAUUUUUUUGUUUUUAUUCUCUUUUUUAAAACAAUCUGAAAACGUGCUUAUUUUUAACUAAGAUACACAAUAAAAUACUCUUUUGUAUAUUAGUUCACAGUAUCUUAAUUAGUUUAGAAAUAGCAUUUCUGAACAUUUUUAGCUAUACUGCUAAAAAACAUACAUCACUGAAUUUUUAAAAAGCAUUCACAUAUACUUUUUUCAGCAUUUUGACCUUUUAUAGUCAUUUUUACCAGAUGCAUUUUUCAAGGCCCAUAAAGGAUUACAUAUUUAUAUAAUUGCCGCCCCUGGGAAAUACGCUUUAAUACAGGAUAGAUAAUGAAGAAUAACUUUUAAGUAAUAAGCAUGUCUGUGUCAGUUUAUUUUCUGCUCUGUAUGUAUUCUAUUCUCCAAAGUUGUGUUUUGUUUUGUCAUUCAUUCUCAUUGGAGAUAAAUAUUUCAUAAAUGAAUGAAAUCAGUGAUAUAUAUUGAUAGUUAUAGAAUAAAUGUAACUAUUCACUGACAGCUAUGUCAGUGUAGUUGCAAAUACUGAAUAAAUUUAAAAGCAAAGCAAACAGAUUUCCUUAUAAUUCAUCUAAUUAAUACUUGUUCUCUUUAUAUCAGUUUUUUCAUCACAUUAGAUUUACACAGCUAAGAAUGACCCAUUUUAGUAAUCAUAGGUAAUUAUCUUCCUUUGCAAAAAUUUUACAACAUCUUUUUUAGGACUAAAAGGAAGUUCCAUAUAUAAUUUUAUACUAUCCAAUAGAAAAAGAAUUAUAUUGGUUUUGUCCUUGAUACUGUAUUUUGAAUUGGGUAGAAUGACCCUCGUAUGUUUUCAGCUGUUUAUUUCACAGAAAAAAAUUGAAAAUAUCAGUAGGAAAAAGAAACCUUAAAUGUCUUCAAUCAGGGUAAUGUCAGAUUUUUGCAAAUACUAAAUGUGUGUAUGUUUUACCUCCUAUAGUUUUAACUUAAUCUAUUUGAAGAUAUGAAACUAAAAUUAAUUUAUGCGCAGCAGGGGGCAGAGGUGGUCAUGGGGAAGUAAAAAUGUUUGUUUUGUGAUUUAGCACAAGAAGAACUUGAUCUUGAUAUUAGGAAUCAUUAUUUUAAUAGUCUCUACAUAAAAUACUUUAGAGUCCUUAAGAAUCUAUAAUGUUUUUAUUUUUUUAAGAUUAUCCAUUUUUACCUUUGUUAAUUUUGAUUCCUUCAUAAUAUAAAAAUAAUUGACAAGUUAAUCAUACUUUUCAAUCCAAUUUAAUGUAUUUAACACAGGUAUGACCUAAAAAUUAAAUUUUUGAUAUACUUUCUUUCACAUUAUUUAUCUUUUAAAAUCAUAAACUUGUGUUUUCCACUGAAGUGACACUUGGAAAGAGAAACAUACUAGUAACUUGGUCAUUAAGUAUUUUUCCAUGGCUACUAGUUUCCUAUGAUGUAUCAUUAAGUAGUGAUUAUUCACAAUAUUCAGUUGCUUUGUUGUCUAAGUAAAACAUAUUUUCAAAAUUUGAAAUUAUACUUGUUAUUCUCUAUCAGAGUAGUUAUCUUUUAUUAAAAUCUUUCAGAAAGCUUUUGUUUUGUCACUUUGUCAGGAAAAAAUUCCAAAUUCUUAAGUUUGAAAUUUAAGAUUUGUUUUGCUCAUUCUAGUGGCAAUGAGAUAUUCCAAGAUAAAUUCCAAACUUUUUCAGUCAUUUUUGAUGUAGUAGUUCUUAU